GAACGCACAUUGCGCCCGCCAGUAUUCUGGCGGGCAUGCCUGUUCGAGCGUCAUUUCAACCAUCAAGCGCCUGCGCUUGUGUUGGAGCCCUGCGGCUGCCGCAGGCUCCCAAACCCAGUGGCGGGCUCGUCGUCGUACCGAGUGCAGUAAAUUUACCACGCUCAGGGCGCGCGACGGGUGACCGGCCGUAAAACCCCCCAACUUAUCAAGGUUGACCUCGGAUCAGGUAGGAAUACCCGCUGAACUUA
rnacentral:misc_RNA from 1 species